AUUUAAAUAGCUUAAGUUUUAGAGCAUAAUAUUGAAAAUAUUAAGAUAAUAGAUUUAUUUUUAAAUA
rnacentral:tRNA from 1 species